GGGGAGGGUCCCUGUUCUCUGCUCCUUAAUUCUGUGCAACUUAAUGCUCCUCUUUCUUCCAGGCCCACGGUCUCUACUUUGAAAGCUCUGGAGUCCGACUAAAGCACCGCCACCCAAACCUCCGACCGCCGGGGCCGCCAACGCCCCCGCCCCCCAGGCUGGGCCGGGGGCGGGGUUCAGGGCGCGGGCGCAGGUUGCAGACGCGCUCGAGAGGGGGCGCGGUCUCCGCCGCCGGGUCCGCCCUGCGGGGCAGAGGUCGCGGGGGGCGAGGCUCCCGGGCCCGCUGCUGCCCCGGGUCCGGAGACGCGCGCGCCCCCCGCCGCGGACGGGGCACAGGAAGGCCCAUCUGCUGUGCUGUUCUCAGCAGCCCGACCCCACUCUCUUGUGGCGCUGCGGAUGGGAAGGGAGUGGGCAGGAAGGCCGCUGCCUGCUGGAAAACUUACCAUCACCAAGAUCAGCCACAACUGGCCAGGUGGGUGUAAGGCACAUAUGUUACUCUUCUACUGCAAGUUGGUGAUUUUUUAUUUUAUUUUAUUUUUUAUUUUUUUAUUUAUUUAUUUUUAAUUUUUAUUUAUUUAUGAUAGUCACACAGAGAGAGAGAGGCAGAGACACAGGCAGAGGGAGAAGC
rnacentral:lncRNA from 1 species